UACGUAGGUGGCAAGCGUUGUCCGGAUUUACUGGGCGUAAAGGGCGUGCAGGCGGUUUGUUAAGUGCAGGGUGAAAGCUCCCGGCUCAACUGGGAGAGGUCCUUGCAUACUGGCAGACUUGAGGGAGGCAGAGGAAAGUGGAAUUCCCGGUGUAGUGGUGAUAUGCGUAGAUAUCAGGAGGAACACCGAUGGCGAAGGCAGGUCUCUGGGCUGACACUGACGCUCAUGCACGAAAGCGUGGGGGAGCAAACAGG
rnacentral:rRNA from 1 species